AUGGUUUGCUUUUUUUUUCACUUCUGGGUACAAGACACAAGCAAUGUCAGAGACUGCUUCAUUUCUAUGCCUAAUGUGGAUGUGUGGAUCAUCCAAAUAGGCUUUACAUUCGGUGAGUCUGACAGCAUGUUAGUAUGGCUCUGUAUAUAUUCCCCAGCAUCUUCAUCCUCCCCCAUAGUCCUCUCUUUUGUGUACCUGGCCUUAAAAGUUAAGCCUCUCAUCAUCGUUUCUAGCUGUCAUGUGCUCUUCCAUUUCAAAACUCAGGUUUUCUACUCUAGCUAUGCUUACUUUGCUCUUAUGCCAGGGAACUACAGAGUUUGGAGGCUGGCCUUCCAGGCACAACAUCAUGGGCUAGUGCUGUUGCUGCAUGGCCAUAGCUGUUUUCAGUAUUUCUGUGUACAAAGUAUUUCAGGGUGACACGAGAACAGAACAGGAGGCUUCUGUAUUCCUACCUGAUCAUUUGGAUGGUCC
rnacentral:lncRNA from 1 species